AACAUACACACUUGGCUAGUAAAGCUCAUUUUGACACGAAGAGAGGCAGUGUGAAUAGGAAGGACGUGAAAGUAGGAAGUCAGUCUAUCCGACGUACACUCAACUGAGCAGAGGAGAAAAGUGUCUGAGACAAGUGCUGCUGGUUUACCUCUCACACUUGAGAAGAUGAGUGAAUUGGAUGAAGGGGAGAACAGGUUAGGGUCUCCAGUCUCCAGCUGUCCCUCUGAGGAACUUUACACAGACAUGCCUGAAGACUUCAGUUAUGAGCCUGGACCCUCAGCAACAAAAGAGGAGUGGAAGAGGAGGGAUGUUUCUGUGGAGGAGCAGCCAUCAUCCUGUGCUUUAUGUCAGGACGUCCUGAAGGAUCCACUCUCUACCAGCUGUGGACACUGGUUCUGCAGUCAGUGCAUCACCUUGUACUGGGACCAGUCUGCUUCAUCAGGAGACUCCUUCUGUCCCCUGUGUAGAGUCAGUCAGACCAGCACUGUACAACAUUUUGAAAACCAUCUUCUUCAGUCUCACACUUUUCCUUCUCUCUCAGCAGACAGUGGUCUGCAGAAGGUUUUAGAUGAACAUAAGAUCAGUCUGAAGAGGAGAUGUGACCGUGUGACUGAGGGAACCAAUGAAACAGGAAGUGAAACCCUCCUCAACAGGAUCUACACUGAGCUCUACAUCACAGAGGGACGGAGUGAAGAGAUUAAUACCCAACAUGAGGUGAAGCAGCUUGAGACAGCCCACAGGAUAAAGACCCUCCAUGAAACUCCAAUCAAGUGUCACGACAUCUUUAAAGCCUUACCUGACCAACAGGGACACAUCAGAGUCGUUUUGACGAACGGCGUCUCUGGCGUUGGUAAAACCUUCUCAGUGCAGAAGUUCACUCUGGACUGGGCCGAGGGUUUGGAAAACCAAGAUGUCAGUCUGGUGAUUCCGUUUUCAUUCAGGGAGCUGAACUUGAUCAAAGAUAAGAAGUACAGUCUUCUCACUCUGCUCUGUGUUUUCCAUUCAACAUUACAGAAGGUCACAGCAGAGGAGCUCGCUGUCUGUAAAGUUCUGUUCAUCUUUGACGGCCUGGAUGAAAGCAGACUGGCUCUGGAUUUCCACAACAAUGAGGUUGUGACUGAUGUCACACAGAAGUCAUCAGUCAACGUGCUGCUGACAAACCUCAUCAAAGGGAAGCUGCUUCCCUCGGCUCUCGUGUGGAUAACUUCCCGACCUGCAGCAGCCAAUCAGAUCCCUCCUGCAUGUGUUGACAGGGUAACAGAAGUACGAGGCUUCACUGACGCCCAGAAGGAGGAGUACUUCAGGAGGAGAGUCAGUGAUGAAGAGCGGUCCAGCAGAAUCAUCUCACACAUGAAGACAUCCAGGAGCCUCCACAUCAUGUGUCUAAUCCCAGUCUUCUGCUGGAUCACUGCUACAGUUCUGGAUCACAUGUUGACUACAGAGCAGAGAGGAGAGCUGCCCAAGACCCUGACUGACCUGUACUCACACUUCCUGCUGGUUCAGACAAAGAGGAAGAAGCAGAAGUAUGAUGAGGAACAUGAGACCAGUCCACAGGAGCUGACGGAGGCUGACAGGGACGUUCUUCUGAAGCUGGGGAGGCUGGCGUUUGAACAGCUGGUGAAAGGAAACAUCAUGUUCUACCAAGAAGACCUGGAGCACUGUGGUCUUAAUGUCACAGAGGCCUCGGUGUACUCAGGACUUUGUACAGAGAUCUUCAAAAGAGAGUGUGUGAUCUUCCAGAAAACAGUCUACUGCUUCGUUCAUCUGAGCGUUCAGGAGUUUCUGGCCGCAGUCUACCUGUUCCACUGUUACACCAACAGGAGGACCGAGGUACUCAAGGACUUCCUGGGGAAAGACUGGAAUAAUUACCGAUCCCUGGGUGACUUCUUGCGGGGUGCCAUGGACAAGGACAACAGUGAUGGCAGUGAUCCUGAUUACCCAUCCCUGGAUGACUUCCUGAAAACUGCCAUGAAAAAAUCCCUCCAAAGUAAGAAUGGGCACCUGGACCUGUUUGUCCGCUUUCUCCAUGGCCUCGCUCUCGAAUCAAACCAGAGACUCUUAGGAGGCCUGCUGGGUCAGACAGACAACAGUCCAGAAAUCAUCCAGAGAGCCAUCAACAACCUGAAGAAGAUGAACGUGUAUGAGAUCUCUCCUGAUAGAGGCAUCAACAUCUUCCACUGUAUGAUGGAGAUGAACGACGACUCGGUACAUCAGGAGAUCCAAGAGUUCCUGAUGUCAGGGAACAGAUCAGAGAAAGAAUUCUCUGUGGUCCACUGCUCAGCUCUGGCCUACAUGUUACAGAUGUCAGAGGAGGUUCUGGAUGAAUUUGACCUGAGUACGUACAACACAUCAGACCAGGGACGUCUGAAACUGAUUCCGGCUGUGAGGAACUGCAGAAAGGCAGUACUUACUGGCUGUAGACUCUCAGAGCCUCACUGUGAAGUUGUGGCCUCAGCUUUGAAGUCCAACCCCUCCCAUCUGAGAGAGCUGAACCUGAGUGAGAACAAGCUGCAGGAUUCAGAAGUGAAGCUGCUGUCUGUUGGACUAGAGAGUCCAAACUGUAAACUGGAGGAGCUGAGAUUGUGGAGCUGCCAUUUGUCAGAAAACAACUUUGCUUCUCUGGCCUCAGCUCUGAAGUCCAACCCCUCCCAUCUGAGAGAGCUGGAACUGAGUGACAACCACCUGCAGGGUGCAGGAGUGAAACUGCUGUGUGAUUUUCUGAAGAGUCCACACUGCAGACUGAAGACUCUGGGUUUGAGAUCCUGCAGUUUGUCAGAGAUCGGCUUUGUUUCCAUGGCCUCAGCUCUGAAGUCCAACCCCUCCUAUCUAAGAGAGCUGGACCUGAGUGACAACUACCUGAAGCAUUCAGGAGUGAAGCUGCUGUGUGAUUUUCUGAAGAGUCCACCCUGUAAAAUGGAGAGUCUGGGACUGAGUUCAUGCAGUUUGUCAGCGAACAGCUGUGUUUCUCUGGCCUCAGCCCUGAAGUCCAACCCCUCCCAUCUGAGAGAGCUGGACCUGAGUGACAACGACUGGAUGGAUUCAGGAGGGAAACUGCUGUGUGAUUUUCUGAAGAAUCCACACUGUAGACUGGAGCGUCUGGGACUGUGGCACUGCCAUUUGUCAAAGAUCAGCUAUGUUUCUUUGGCCUCAGCUCUGGAGUCCAACCCCUUCUGUCUGAGAGAGCUGGACCUGAGUGACAACUGGGACAAGGAACAAGGAGUGAAGCUACUCUCUUCUUGUGUGGAGAAUCCAGACUGUAGACUGGAGACUCUGAGGAUCAGUGGCAAGGUGUUCAGAGCUAAGAAACACAAAAUAUACGACUCUGAUGUCAAACCUGACGUGAAAACAAACCUUGCCGAGGAUGACAAAAAGGCUCCAUUAUCUUUCUCACCCGAACGCACAACUGAAUCUACAUACAGGUUCAGGUGUCCUGGUCCAGGUGUGUUCCAGUGUGAUUUGACAGGACUGGUGUUUGUUAUGGCUCAGGAGGCGGAGCUGCUGUACAGGACUGUCCAAUGGGAUGAGAGCCUCCUCCAGCCAGCUGGCAAGACAGCUGCAGGGCCGCUGUUUGAAAUCAAGUGUUCUGAGGCUGCUGCCGUCUGUCAGCUCCACCUCCCGCACUGUGAAACAAAGGAUGCGUUGCUCAUUGAUGGCCUGUUGUCUGUCGUCCACGUCACUGACGAUGGAAUGAGCAUCUUGGAGCCACUGGAGAUUACAGACACUCAUGUGGUUGUGAAGGUCCCAAACCUCUCUGCCUUCGGCCUGGUCUGGGAUUACAUCACAAGGUUUCUGAACAUCUCACUGCCAAUAAAUGGUCAAGUUCUGCUGUUCCUCCGACCUCCGUACUUAGGGCAUCGAGUACUGGAUGUAUUUCUGCUGCAGGACAACAUCCCUCUACAGGAGCUCCUCCUGGGGUAUUCUUCCCAAUCACCCCCCACCUCCAGGUUUAUCUAACAUUGCCCACGUGAGUACCUCAGUAGAACUAUAGAGUCCCAAGAUGGUAUCUCUCCCAGGACGCCACUCAGAGACUUCAAGAUGGCCAGGUACUCUGAACUGCUGUUUGGUGCACCACACAACAGCCAAAAUCCCACACAGUGGCACCCAGCCGGGAGCUUUUGAGUUUCCCCACACCUGUCCAGCCCCUCUCCAGGAGUUCAGGUCCAGUACCAGUGCUUUGUGUGAAGCUACAGACCUGUUUCGCUACUCCCUCAACUUUCCAAAAUACUCGAAAAACUCUUCAAUAAUCGUCUGGAAAAAUUCAUAGACAAGCAUAACUUACUCAGUGACAGUCAAUAUGGAUUCAGGGCAAAUAGAUCUACAUCACUAGCAUUAACUGAUUCAAUAGAGGACAUCACAAACUCCAUAGAUAAUAAACAGUAUGCAGUUGGGUUAUUCAUAGAUUUAAAAAAAAGCAUUUGACACCAUACACCACGGCAUAUUAAUCAAAAAGUUGGAAAGGUACGGCAUCAGGGGGGUUGUGCUAAACUGGCUGAAAAGUUAUUUGUCUAGCAGGCAGCAGUUUGUGAAGGUGGGUGAUUGUUGCUCCUCAUGUUUGGACAUUACCUGUGGUGUCCCCCAGGGGUCAGUUUUGGGCCCUAAAUUGUUUAUUCUAUAUAUUAAUGAUUUAUGCAGUGUGUCUGAAACACUUAAACUUGUUUUAUUUGCUGAUGACACAAACAUUUUUUGUUCCGGAGAUGAUGUUUGUCAGUUACAAAAACAUAUUACUUCAGAAAUGUGCAAAUUAAAAAUAUGGUUUGAUAAAAACAAGCUAUCAUUAAACUUAACCAAAACAAAAUGCAUGUUAUUUGGGAACUUGGGAAAAGGUACCCAAAUAAAUAUUGUGGUAGAUGGGAUUAAGAUUGAGCAAGUUUCUGUAUAUAAGUUUCUUGGUGUUACAAUAGAUGAAAAACUCAGCUGGAAAUCACACAUCAAACAUAUCCACUCCAAAAUAUCAAGAAGCAUUGCAGUAUUAAACAAAGCAAAACAGGUUUUAGAUCACAAAUCACUCCACAUUCUGUACUGUUCACUGGUUUUACCAUAUCUAAGUUACUGUGCAGAGGUCUGGGGCAGCACUUACAAAACUACACUACAGCCAUUAAUCAUUCUUCAAAAAAGAGCAAUACGCUGCAUUCACAAAGCUGGAUAUCAGGAUCAUACAAACCCAUUAUUCUUACAGGCACAUAUAUUAAAACUGGAAGACCUGAUCAAUUAUCAAAUAGCACAAAUAAUGUUUAGGGCAAAAAAUCAUUUACUAGCAGCAAAUAUUCAAAACAUGUUUACACAAAAAGAGGGAAUUUAUAAUUUAAGAGGGCUAUUCAAUUUUAAAACCCCAAGUUUUCGUACUACCAGGAAAAGUUUUUGUAUUUCUGUUUGGGGAGUAAAGUUAUGGAACAGUCUUGAUGGGGAGCUCAAGAAAUGUCCAAACAUGAAGCAAUUUAAAAAAAGAUAUAAAGAAAUGAUUUUCAAAGGGUACAGUCACGACAAUCCUUAGCAGUAUAUUUGUAUAUUGUUUGCCUUAUUUAUUUAUGGUGCUAGUUAUUUUCCUAGAUUACCUCACAUUUCUUUUGUAAAAUUGUAUUUUGGUAUAUGUUGACUGUGAAUUUAUGUUUUUGAAAUAUUUUGUAAAACUUUGUUAAUUGAAGGGAAAAGUUUAUGUUGUUAAUUAUUGUAAUGGGAAGCUAGUUAAUUAACAAAAAAUGGAUUUAUGGAUAGGGGGUGGGAUUAAAUAAGUAUGUACUUCCUCCCACUCCUUUUCGGAAAUGUAAACCGAAUUGCCAAAUUGUGUUGAGAAUCUUUUGUUUGCUUUUUUUCUUAUGACAUUUCUGUUUACACGUUCGAAAUAAAUAAGAAAUCAAAUCAAAUCAAAUCAAGGUGAAACUAACUAUAACUAGUUGGUAUCGCUUCACCUCCCGCACCAGCUCCAGUUCCUUACCUGCCAGAGAGAUGAGUUUCAUAUCUCUAGAGUCAGUCUAGGAUGCCAGGGGUCACUACGCCAAGGCUCCUGCCUUUGCCUACCAUCCAACCUGCCUAUUCUCUCGAGUGGUGGGCCCACAGGCACCAGACACACGCUGGUGAGCUGCUCCCCUUCCAGGUCUGGCUCCAGGAGGGGGCCCCAGUGCAACAACUCCUUUUUUGCUGAUUCAUAUGGGGUCUUUAAAUCGCUCUUAGUCUGACACCUCCCAUGGGACCACUUUGCUUUGGGAGACCCUACCAGGAGCUUCUGCCCCCAACCUCACAGCUCCCACAGGAUCACAGGGACACAAAAACCCCUCCACCAUGUUGAGGUGGCAUUUCUUGGAUAGAGUGUUCUUAAAUGCUCUCUAUAAAAAGAAUUGUCCUGACUAUCUGAGCAUGAACUAAACUUAUAAUAAUGUCCCUUUACUGAAGGUUACCGUCCAACAAGGAGGUGCUGAGCAUAUCAAGAUCUCCUCCAACUGUCAUCUGAGCUUUGGUCAAAGUUACAGUGUCCACUGUGAACCUGAGGGCUUCACAAUACAGCCUGAGCAUGAAGCGUUUCAGUCAAGGCAUGGACCAAA